rnacentral:rRNA from 1 species
GAUGAACGCUGGCGGCGUGCUUAACACAUGCAAGUCGAACGAAGAUGCCGGAGUGCUUGCACUUUGGCAGACUGAGUGGCGGACGGGUGAGUAACGCGUGGGUAACCUGCCUUAUACAGGGGGAUAACAGUUGGAAACGACUGCUAAUACCGCAUAAGCGCACGGUAUCGCAUGAUACAGUGUGAAAAACUCCGGUGGUAUAAGAUGGACCCGCGUCUGAUUAGCUAGUUGGUGAGGUAACGGCUCACCAAGGCGACGAUGCGUAGCCGACCUGAGAGGGUGAUCGGCCACAUUGGGACUGAGACACGGCCCAGACUCCUACGGGAGGCAGCAGUGGGGAAUAUUGCACAAUGGGGGAAACCCUGAUGCAGCAACGCCGCGUGAGUGAUGACGGCCUCGGUGUAAAGCUCUGUCUUCAGGGACGAUAAUGACGGUACCGUGAGGAGGAAGCACGGCUAACU